rnacentral:rRNA from 1 species
UACGUAGGGGGCAAGCGUUGUUCGGAAUUACUGGGCGUAAAGGGCGCGUAGGCGGCACGGCAAGUCAGGAGUGAAAGCCCGGGGCUCAACCCCGGAAUGUCUUUUGAAACUGCCGAGCUAGAGUGCGGAAGAGGCAACUGGAAUUCCCAGUGUAGCGGUGAAAUGCGUAGAUAUCAGGAGGAACACCGGUGGCGAAGGCGGAUCUCUGGGCCAUUACUGACGCUGAGGAGCGAAAGCGUGGGGAGCGAACAGG